rnacentral:rRNA from 1 species
AGCGGCGGAUGGGUGAGUAACACGUGGGGAACCUGCCCCUAAGUCUGGGAUACCAUUUGGAAACAGGUGCUAAUACCGGAUAAUAAAGCAGAUCGCAUGAUCAGCUUUUGAAAGGCGGCGUAAGCUGUCGCUAAGGGAUGGCCCCGCGGUGCAUUAGCUAGUUGGUAAGGUAACGGCUUACCAAGGCGACGAUGCAUAGCCGAGUUGAGAGACUGAUCGGCCACAUUGGGACUGAGACACGGCCCAAACUCCUACGGGAGGCAGCAGUAGGGAAUCUUCCACAAUGGACGCAAGUCUGAUGGAGCAACGCCGCGUGAGUGAAGAAGGUUUUCGGAUCGUAAAGCUCUGUUGUUGGUGAAGAAGGAUAGAGGUAGUAACUGGCCUUUAUUUGACGGUAAUCAACCAGAAAGUCACGGCUAACUACGUGCCAGCAGCCGCGGUAAUACGCAGGUGGCAAGCGUUGUCCGGAUUUAUUGGGCGUAAAGCGAGCGCAGGCGGAAAAAUAAGUCUAAUGUGAAAGCCCUCGGCUUAACCGAGGAACUGCAUCGGAAACUGUUUUUCUUGAGUGCAGAAGAGGAGAGUGGAACUCCAUGUGUAGCGGUGGAAUGCGUACAUAUCUGGAAGAACACCAGUGGCAACGCGGCUCUCUGGUCUGCAACUGACGCUGAGGCUCGAAAGCAUGGGUAGCGAACAGGAUUAGAUACUCUGGUAGUCCAUGCCGUAAACCAUGAGUGCUAACUGC